AUGGGAACGCGAAGAACCUUACCUAGACUUGACAUCUUCUGCAUUAAUCGUAAUGGAUGAAAUCCCUUCGGGGACAGAAUGACAGGUGGUGCAUGGUUGUCGUCAGCUCGUGUCGUGAGAUGUUGGGUUAAGUCCCGCAACGAGCGCAACCCCUAUUAUUAGUUGUCUAACAUUAAGUUAGAGCACUCUAGUGAGACUGCCGGGUUAACCGGGUAGGAAGGUGGGGAGUGACGUCAAAUACAUCAUGCCCCUUACUGUCUAGGGCGUACACACGUGCUACAAUGGUGGGAACGAAAGAAGAUGCAUUACCGUCAAGGUGGAGCUAAACUACAAAACCCCAACUCCACGUUCGGUAUUGUAGGCUGAAACUACGCCUACAUGAAGCUGGAGUUGCUAGUAAUCGCGAAUCAGAAUGUCGCGGUGAAUACGUUCCCGGGUCUGUACACACCG
rnacentral:rRNA from 1 species